rnacentral:lncRNA from 1 species
CUCUGGCAACCUUUGAUAAUGGGUCACUUGUUAUGAUUUUCAUCAAAACCAGAAGACCCUGCAGGAAUUAGAUCAGCAUCAGCAUAGUUACUGGGCAGCAUUUGCAGCUAAGUUUGAGCCCCUGGAAUGGAGAAUUACUGGCUCUGCUAAUGCACUUAAGUGGCUUAAAAUUUUGGGUAGUUUCUUGGGAAACAAACAGCUUUGAUUCACAGCAUUAAAGGACAAUUGUUGAGACAAAUUUAUGAAUUAACUCAACUCAACAAGCUCUUGCUUUGAUUUAUUGUUGAACUGGAAAACAGCCACAAAGCCCAGUUUUCAUCACCAUAUGGCUCCCAAAGUUACAGAACCUCAGGGGUACGAACCAAGGAAGAGUUUGGAGUAAUAACCAAACCUACCAUCUCCCAACGCUCGUCCCCUUGUUGCC